rnacentral:lncRNA from 1 species
UAGAACUGCAGAUUUUAUUAAAAUCUAUUCAGAUUCAUAUAUUUUUUAGUUUUGUGGAUUUCAAGUUCUUGGAGCCUCAAUUUCGCCAAAAUGACAGGUUUUCUUGGGUGUUUUGAAACUUUUACUUUGGUCAGAUUCAUACAUCAUUCGUCCAGAAAAAUCAGAGCUUUGCUCAUCCUUCUAUUUAGAUGUUCAAGUUUUCUUUGUCUCAUUAGAAGACUCGAUAAGAGUAGUUUCUUGGAGCUUCUCUUUCUUUAAAAAUUCUUAGAAGUAUUGAAGACCGUCCACGGGAUCGGGUAUUAUUAUCAGUGUAAUUUCAAAGUUGCAUGCUUUGUUAAAGCUCAAGUAGCACUUCAGUUUGGCCAGUUUGUUCAAAAGAAAGGGACAAUUUCAAUUUUGGUUGAUUUUGGCUGGCAGCUAGUUUAGACUCCUUACAGAUCAGCUGCCACUGCAACUCGUUCGAGGUAGGUACUCACUUCACCAUCCAGCUACCUGCUUAUUGGACUCUCUUCGUUCGUUGGCAAUGUUUUGGUUGUUCAUCCAGCCAGCAUAUUGUUGGUAUUGCUUUUCAAAAUUCAUGGUGUUCUUGGCAUUUUGAUAUCGUGCAGAUUUUAAUCUUAUUUUGAUUUCCCAAGUUUUGGCCAAGCCGUGUAUUACUUGUUUGGACAAUUUAGUCAAAUUUCUUUUGAUAAUUUGAAUUAGUCAAAUAGAUCACGCAGUAUUUCCGCAAGGAAUAUGAUGUUUGUCCAGGCUUAAAGACAGG